ACAGGUCGGAAAUUUAGUGACAUGGUAUGGUAUUGGUUUUUUACCGUAUAGUACGGUAUCUAGAGUUUAGAGCAGUUUCAUUCGGAGCGCUUUUGUCAUUCUCUAUCAGUUGUUGGCGGAGGUAGAUGCGUGAAGCUUUUGUCACCUUUUGCUUCUGUAAAUUUAUGGUUAUAUUUUGUUGGAAGAAGGUUUUAGUAUUCAUGCAGUUACAAACACCAGAAUGGGGAGUGUGUGAUGUAUGUUUAAGUGGAAAUACCAAGGAUCCCAUUGAUCCUGAAAGUAAUUCUUAAUGUUAUAUUGUUUCUUAUUUUUUACAUAUAUCAUUGUUAAAUGUGCAAAGGAUUAUAUGUAAUGUUUUUAUUUUAAUUCAUUUAGGAUCGAACCACAAGUAUGUUCAUUAAGGAUCGAACCACAAGUACGUUCAUUAAGUAUCGAACCACAAGUACGAAUGACAAUUUAAGUUAUUCUUUGAUAACAUUUACCAAUAUAAUAUUGCAAUGCUAUAUGUCAUUUUAAGUAAUCGUUAUAUUGUUUAGUAAAUAUAUGCUAUUGUAUAUUUCAGGGUGAUAUGUAUAUACUCCUGUAUACACAUGAAUAAUUAAUUGGAAAAAUGUAAAUAUAAACAGUAUGAGUGAUCAAUAAGUAUGUUAGAGUUAUCCUGAAAAGAAAAUAAAGACUAUCUGAACUCUGAUGAAA